CCGCCUCAACUCAACCCUGACGCCUUCUUCCCUAAUCCAAGAUUGGAGAAAGAAGAUCUAGGAGGGACCUAUGGAGAAUGUAGUCAGAAAUCCAUAAUAGAGUCCGACCAAAACGACCGAAUUAAUUAUCCUCAUCGAGAAACAAGGGGGAUUCGACCUCCUAGAGUUCAACUCCCUCUCUCAACCCAUGAACAAUAUGAGUCUGAAGCUUCUUUUGUAACUCCCAUAAUUUCUUCGUAG
rnacentral:rRNA from 1 species